CAAUUGUUGCUAAGACGGGAGAGGGCAGAGACUGAGUUAGGGGGCAGCCAUGGUCCCCCUACAUGUUUGGAGUAGCCUUCCCCUCUGUUGCCGAUUACCAGUUGGCCACUGCAAUGAAACUCUGUGAUGCCCACUGUGUGAUGCCCCAGGGUAAUCUUGGCUUUAGGCAGUUGCCUAACUGGUCUGACAUUGGGGCAACCUCUGUGGUUAUAUACUAAAAUGUGAAUUUGCAGACACAUUUUUUUUUUGCAUUUUGCUGAAAUUCGCUUAUAUCCUUACUGACAAAAAUGAGCCAUUGGAUAGACACUAACAAAAAAACCUCCUGGAAUAGCAGCCAUUGAGCG